UCACUUGCACAGUAGCAUGUUUUUGAUUAGAUGACCAACUCGUACGAAGAUGGUUGGGGUACACACUAUUGAUCGUGGGGGGGGGGCAUCAUUUCGGCUGUAGCCUAGUCUAUAUUGAGGUUAGCACGGGUGGGGUAGGCUACACAGUGACAGCGCACACACUCAUAGAUGUGGGUGGUUUAUUAGGCGCAAAUUAGGAAGGAGCAGGACUCGAGAAAAUCUCGGUUGCAAUUCCAUUAGGACAAAUUACUUCAUUGCUCUCGAGAAUAAACGGAGUAUACCACGCGCGAACCCAUUCUGGCUCCCGCUCCCUGGACAACCUCCUUUCCAGACUCGCGCCAUCCGUCCUCUUCGAAUACCUGCACAGCAGCCCGUUACCGUUCGUUCGGAUGGAUCCCGCUGUUCUCAUCUUCCUGCUGUAUAUGAUGAUCGCUCAUGAGCUGGUCUGCGGCUGGUUGCAGUACCGGAGGCAAGCUGCCAAGCCCCGCAAACGAGUCGGGCCGAUGUGGAGUACCAGUGCCCGAGUUUGCCCGAGCAGCUGGCGGGUCAGUAGCCAGCCUUGCAGGACAGAGAGAGGACGAGACUGGAGGAGGGCUGCUGGGAAAAGUGGGCGACGAAUUGUCAGAAAGGCCUGAGCUGGAGAGAGCAUCUGUUGAGCAGAACUUCAGACAAUUCCACAACCCCAGAGUGGAUUGUUGGACUGAAAGACCUCUUCUUGUCUUGAACUUGGAACUUUGACAGGUUUGAAGAGCUUGAUCUGCUGCAGCAUCUCUUUGCUGUGAUUGAGCAGCACAUUGCCCAUGGGGAUUUGGUCAACACAGCUACGAGUCUAAACUCCGGAGAGCAGUACAAUAUGAGGAAAUGUCUGUGGAUGUGUGGGAAUUUUGCCUAUUUAUUUGUUAAUCUAUAUGGUCAUAGUCCUAUGUUAUCAUGUUAUUUGGUGAUGUUUGUAUUCCAAAUCAGCUGUUAGCCUCCCUCCAGGAUCUGUCUUUUAGACCACACUUCCAAAAGAAUGCUAUAUAUUCCAUCAGAUCCAUCCUGGAAUUUUAAUUGUCCUUUUCAUUUAGACACUUAAUUCUUUCUCAAAGAGAAAAAUACACGUUUGUCAUGUUUCCCACCGAUGUAGAGACCACCAGGUGUGUUUACUGUGGAUGUGGCUCUAAUAACGUUUGUAUUAACACACACUUCUGAAAUGAACCGUUGAAAGACUGUCUGUGAUGGAGCAGCCAGUAUACUGAACAAAAUAACAAUGCAACAUGCAACAAUUUCCGAGACUUUACUGAGUUGCUUUUUAUUUAAGGAAAUCAGCCUAUUGAAAUAAAUAAAUGAGGCCCUAGUCUAUAGAUUUGACUGGGAAUACAGAUAUGCAUAUUUUGGUCACAGAUACCUUUUUUUUUUUUUAAGGUAGGGGUGUGAAUCAGAAAACCAGUCAGUAUCUGGUGUGACCACCAUUUGCCUCAUGCAGCGUGACACAUCUCCUUCUCAUUGAGUUGAUGGUGGCUUGUGUUAUGUUGUCCCUCUCCUAUUCAAUGGCUGUGCGAAGUUGCUGGAUAUUGGUGGGAACAGGAACACGCUAUUGUACACGUCGAUCCAGAGCAUCCCAAACAUGCUCACAUGUCUGGUGAGUAUGCAGGCCAUAGAAGAACUGGGACAUUUUCAGCUUCCAGGAAUUGUGUACAGAUUCUUGUGACAUGGUGCCAUGCAUUAUCAUGCUGAAACAUGAGGUGAUGGCGGCAGAUGAAUGGCACAACAAUGGGCUUCAGGAUCUCGAUAUGGUAUCUCUGUGCAUUCAAAUUGCCAUCGAUAAAAUGCAAUUUGUUUUGUUUUCCACAGUUUAUCCCUGCCCAUACCAUAACCCCCUCACCAACAUGGGGCACUGUUCACAACAUUGACAUCAGCAAACCGCUCACCCACAUGAUGCCAUACACAUGGUCUGCGACUGAGGCCAAUUUGACUUACUGCCAAACUCUCUAAAAUGAUAUUGGAAGCCAUAUAUGGUAUAGAAAUGAACAUGACAUUUUCUGGCAAUAGCUCUGUUGGAAACUCAUGCAGUCAGCAUGCCAAUUGCGCUAUCCCUAAAAACUUGAGACAUCUGUGGCGUUGUGUUGUGUGACAAAACUGCACAUUUUAGAGUAGCCCAUUAUUGUCCACAGCACAAGGUGCACCUGUGUAAUGAUCAUGCUGUUUAAUUAGCUUCUUGAUAUGCCUCACCUGUCAGGUGGAUGGAUUAUCUUGCCAAAUGAGAAAUAUUCACUAGCAGGGAUUUAAAGACAUUUGUGCACAACAUUUGAAAGAAAUCCCCCAAAAAAUUGUGUAUGGAACAUUUCUGGGAUAUUUUAUUUCAGCUCAUGAAACACUUUACAUGUUGCGUUAAUAUUUUUGUUCAGUAUAUAUGAAAUAUGUUGUGUUAGCACAAUAUUGGACUGUUGUAUCGAAUACAAAAGAAUAAGAGACUUGAUCGGAGAGAAUGUUACAUGUCAAUUUUGGUAAUGGCCUGCAAAACAUAGCAUUCCCUUUGAAACAAUUAGAACUUUAUUUGCAUCUUUUUCUUAUAAAAUUGGAGGAAGGAUUCAGUGGCUUCAUACCUACUUUUCAAAAGAUGACUCAUCCAGUUUAGGCUUACAUAGCACCUCUCCCAACCUCAGUAUAUUAUCUGAUUAUACACGAGAGAGACACCCAAUCUCUCUCUCCUGUAGUCGCUGACUUUGUCAGCAGACGUUGAGCAUUGUGCCACAUCAGACUCAGAAAUACCCACCCCUUCUGUCCUGUGGCCAGUCCCCCAAUGUCAGAUCAGUAGUCCGUGUCAUUAGAAGACCGUGUCAGUCUCAGGAUAGCCAGCCUAGUGGAAAGUAGGUGCAUUUCAUAAGGAGUCGUCCUCCGUACUGGCCUGUAAAUGUGUGCUCUUGUGCACUGAGCUGCUUACAAUGCAUGGAUCACUAAACAGCGCUAGUCCUCUCUCAGCAGAUGGCCCGCCUGCGAUAGCACAGGUGGGUGCUCAUGUUUUAUUUUUCAUGGGAAGGAAGCAUUUGGCUGCCGCAGUCUUCCUGGUUCAAAGGUCCAUGCUUGUCGAAAUCUGGUUGUAUUUUUGUAAGAGGGUUUUGUGUUCAUUUAGGGGUUAACAUGUGUAGGAUGUCAACAAAUGAAACAGAAUUUGAAAUUGUUGUUGGUGUUUGCAUAUAGGAUCACAUUGUGAAUUUGAGUUGGUCGGUGCUUUUGCAUCUCUUCAGUUUUAUUUUUUUCACAAAUGUGGACCUGUGAAACACUAAAGGAUGUUGUCAACUCAAAGUUAAAUGUACAUCAUAAGACUUACAUAGUUGACAACUAGUCAAAGACUGAUGUAGAUUACGGAAACAAGUUUAAGGUGUUUUAAUGUUAAUUAAAAUGUUUGUGUAAUUAAUUAUACGGUAAGACAAUGAA